rnacentral:lncRNA from 1 species
GGGGCCCAUGACUGGCUCAUCGAUUGCUUGAACAAGCACACAUCAGAGACAUCCAGAUCAGAAUGGAAGCUGCUCAAGGCUCAGAUGAUCCCUGAGCCACCAACGUUAUCCUGGAGGUUCUUAUCACAGAGUAUGGGAAAUGCCAUACUGGGCUGUGGGUUUGCAGAAAUCCUCCAAAAGAUGCAGAAACAAGUCCAGCUGAAAAUGGAAUGCUUCCUGAUGGCUCAUUUUGUUCCAGCCUCAACCCAAAGGGUCCUGGAGCAAGAAGGAGGGAUUCCCAGUGAUAUCUGGUGAGUAAGAGAGAAAAGGAAGCGGGUACAUCCAAAAACACAAGCACAGUCUGUGAACACCGUCAGACAAGAGGGCCUGAAUGGCGCCUGUGGUGAUUGGGUCUUUUUGUUUGCUUUUGUUUUUGUCAUUGUUGUUUUGAGUCAGUUUAGGAGUUUUUUUUUAGUAAUGACUACUGGGAAACUCAGAGGGAAACACAUACACACACACACACACACACACACAAACACAUGAAAGAACAACAAUGCGGGGUGAUGACCACGGCUCAACCAAACGACAUUUUCAUCAUCCUGACACAUCUUGUUGAAACGGAAACUGAUCUGGGCCUAAAGUCCUCACAUCAUUUUUCCUGAUUCUCUUUGUCUGUUUUUAAAAGUAACGUUCAAUUAGAGAAAUAAUGCAUAGCCCUCCUUGUAAAAUACUACAACGUGAUAAAUAAGGCUCAAGAACUCCUUGGCUGCUGUCUGGACCGAGGGUCCCUCCCCAAGCCAGCCACUGUGCUCUAUUUUCUGUGGGUCUUUGCAGUCUGGGUCGAACUUUUUAAGCAUUUCAUUGCUACUACUUAGCUUUUGAGAGUGGGUUCAGCGCUCGUGACUGAAGCAUAUGCUUAGAGAACAGUGUCCCUGAAGUCAAAUCUCAAACUUUGCCUCAAUGCCUCUUGCCUCAGAAGGGCCCAGAAAGGUCUGAAUUGCCCUGAGAGUUUUCCUCCAGACAAUAGCUCAGCCUUCUGUGCCCAGCCAUGUUUGCAAAACUUUCUCACACACCCCUCAGCUAGUCCUCCACAAUCUAAGCCUAGGCUGCUGGGAUACACAUUUCUAUUUUGCAGAUAAUGAACAGAAGUCUCCACAGAGUUAAGAGUCUUAUACAAAACUACCUACCCUGGCUGGUUUUUCCACUAUAGCAGGGACUCCUUUCCUCCAAGUCCCGCCUCCACACCGAGGUCUCAGGUGUCGAGGGCCUUCCAGGCAUGAAUGUCCCACACCCGUGCUCCUGUCAGAGUCCUCACACUCUCUGACCAAGCUGCCUAAGUUCCAGGAAGCUCUAGGCCUGUGUUCUCCCAGGGAGGGGGGCUUCCCAUCUAGUCCCUCAAACCAGGAGCCCGGGGGUAUUUGUGAGGUUCUGGGAGAUUCUAGGAGACCAUAAAUACCAGACCUUUAAGCAAGCAUGGUCAGCAGCUGGUGAUAAAAUUGAAGGAAAGAGACACAGCAGCCUGCAUUUCAACCCUGCCCUCUCCACACCCUCCAAACUGAGUACCUGGGGUUGCAGGGAGGCAGGGCCACCAAAGUCCCCAGUGGGACCGCAGUGUGGCUCUGAGGACGGAGCUGGAUAUUGUAAGGUUGGCAGCAACUCAGGCCAGUACUCUCAAGUGGGAACAGUUGGGAAAACAGGUAGAAAGAAAAGACAGCAUGAGAAUCUCUAGGACGGGAGCCAGCGCAGUCUUCCCAAAGAAUAUCGUGCAGACAUGCUCUGCACACAAACCUUCCCUUCCUAGAGAUCCAGAAUAUCUAGGAAGAUUCAUGUUCAUCAGCAUUAUGAAAGCCCUGAGAAGUCCUGCAGUCAUGGAAUAAUAUAAUAAUAACGAUAAUAAUAGCCCAAGGUUUUCUAAACUUACUAGUCCAGAGAAUUCUUUUCUAGCGAAAUGCCUAUUGCUGUCUCCCCAUGGAGCACAUGUUGUGACUGCUGGCCUGGCCCAUCUGGGGUAAGGAGCGAUGUUGGUCACAGUGCUUCUUAAGCAGCUGUGAACUUCCACAGCCUCACUGCAAUGGCCCUGGCCCCCAAUCUUACUUCUGAUAGGUUAGACAGAUGCAAUGUCUAAAACCCUCAAUUACUGAUAACACUUUUAGUGAUGACUUAGAUCUCAAACUAUGGGGUCUCAAACUAUGGCCCGUAGGCCAAAUCUGGCCCUCUGCCUGUUUUUAAAAAUAAAGUUGUAUUAAAACACACCUUCUGCCAUUCCUCUAUGUAUUACCG